rnacentral:rRNA from 1 species
GACGAACGCUGGCGGCGUGCUUAACACAUGCAAGUCGAACGGAAAGGUCUCUUCGGAGAUACUCGAGUGGCGAACGGGUGAGUAACACGUGGGUGAUCUGCCCUGCACUUCGGGAUAAGCUUGGGAAACUGGGUCUAAUACCGGAUAGGACUACGGCCUGCAUGGGUUGUGGUGGAAAGCUUUUGCGGUGUGGGAUGGGCCCGCGGCCUAUCAGCUUGUUGGUGGGGUGAUGGCCUACCAAGGCGACGACGGGUAGCCGGCCUGAGAGGGUGUCCGGCCACACUGGGACUGAGAUACGGCCCAGACUCCUACGGGAGGCAGCAGUGGGGAAUAUUGCACAAUGGGCGCAAGCCUGAUGCAGCGACGCCGCGUGGGGGAUGACGGCCUUCGGGUUGUAAACCUCUUUCACCAUCGACGAAGCUGCCCGUAAGGGUGGUGACGGUAGGUGGAGAAGAAGCACCGGCCAACUACGUGCCAGCCGCCGCCGUAACAC